ACUCCUACGGGAGGCAGCAGUGGGGAAUAUUGGACAAUGGGGGAAACCCUGAUCCAGCCAUGCCGCGUGUGUGAAGAAGGCCUUCGGGUUGUAAAGCACUUUCAGUGGGAGGAAAGGUUGAUGGUUAAUACCUAUCAGCUGUGACGUUACCCACAGAAGAAGCACCGGCUAACUCCGUGCCAGCAGCCGCGGUAAUACGGAGGGGUGCAAGCGUUAAUCGGAAUUACUGGGCGUAAAGCGUGCGCAGGCGGUCUGUUAAGCGAGAUGUGAAAGCCCCGGGGCUCAACCUGGGGAACUGCAUUUCGAACUGGCAGACUAGAGUCUUGUAGAGGGGGGUAGAAUUCCAGGUGUAGCGGUGAAAUGCGUAGAGAUCUGGAGGAAUACCGGUGGCGAAGGCGGCCCCUGGACAAAGACUGACGCUCAGGCACGAAAGCGUGGGGAGCAAACAGGAUUAGAUACCCUGGUAGGAUAGCG
rnacentral:rRNA from 1 species